UGAGUCGACCAGGCGGUCGCGUCGGUUCCGCUCACGCGGAGCCGCCGAGGAACGUCCGGGCUCCACAGGGCAGGGUGGUGGGUAACACCCACCCGGGGUGACCCGCGGGACAGUGCCACAGAAAACAGACCGCCGGCGUCCUCGGACGCCGGUAAGGGUGAAACGGUGCGGUAAGAGCGCACCAGCGCCCGGGGUGACCCGGGCGGCUAGGUAAACCCCACCCGGAGCAAGGUCAAAAGGUUCCGGAGCUUUCGGGCUCCGGGGCUGCGCAGGCGUUCGAGGGCUGCCCGCCCGAGCCUGCGGGUGGACCGCUGGAGGCUGUCGGCAACGGCAGCCCGAGAUGGAUGACCGCCAGCCGGAGCCGUCUCACGGCCCCGGCCCACAGAACCCGGCGUACCGGUCGACUCAUCCG
rfam:Frankia symbiont of Datisca glomerata, complete genome.